rnacentral:rRNA from 1 species
UACGAAGGGUGCAAGCGUUACUCGGAAUUACUGGGCGUAAAGCGUGCGUAGGUGGUUCGUUAAGUCUGAUGUGAAAGCCCUGAGCUCAACCUGAGAAUUGCAUUAGAUACUGGCAGGCUAGAGUGCGGUAGAGGAUGGCGGAAUUCCCGGUGUAGCAGUGAAAUGCAUAGAGAUCGGGAAAAACAUCUGUAACGAAGGCGACCAUCUAGACCAGCACUGACACUGAGGCACGAAAGCGUGGGGAGCAAACAGG